rnacentral:RNase_P_RNA from 1 species
UCAGGUGGCCGGGCGGCCGCUGGUCAUGGGCAGGCCCCAUGGCUGGAGGAAAGUCCGGGCUCCACGGGAAUACGGUGCCGGCCAACGGCCGGCGGGGGCGACCCCAGGGAAAGUGCCACAGAAAUCAAACCGCCGGGCCGGUUCGCCGCCCCGGCAAGGGUGAAACGGUGCGGUAAGAGCGCACCGCGCCCCCGGCGACGGGGGCGGCAUGGUAAACCCCACCGGGAGCAAGGCCGAAUAGGGGUGGCCGGCGGGGAUUCCGCGAGGAAUCCGUCCGCGGGGGGCUUUCCCGCCCCGUCACCCGGGUUGGCCGCGUGAGGCAUGCCGCAAGGCAUGUCCCAGAGGAAUGGUCGCCGCACGCCGCCGGUUCGCCGGAGGCGUGGACAGAACCCGGCUUACAGGCCACCUGACGCC